GCCGCUGUAGCUCAGCCUGGUUAGAGCGCUAGACUCAUAAUCUAGAGGUCGCGGGCUCAAAUAUCAAGGACUUGUUUCUUGGUUGGGCGUCCCGUCAGCGGCA
rnacentral:tRNA from 1 species